rnacentral:sRNA from 10 species
GGCUGGCCCAAGUGUGGUGGUGUCUACGUCUUUGUUGUUUCUCCACUGUCACUGUUUCAAUUAACUAGCUUUAA